GUGGGCACCUCCCUCGAGUGCACCCGUGUGCCGAACCAUCACGGGGAAACUACAAGUCUAAUCCUGCUGGCUCAAAAUAUCCUGGACGUGUUCACAGGCUGACUAACAGAGGGAGGAUAAAAUAAAGUCGUAGCGUGCUAGUAAAAAAAAAAGAGGGAAAGAUAUGAAGGUAGUGGACGUGGUGGAAGAAUAGGAGGUGAAGGACGUGAAAGAAUAGAAGAGGAUGAAGCAAAGGAGAAAGGGGUUGAGGAGGUGCAACAA